rnacentral:rRNA from 1 species
AUUGAACGCUGGCGGCAGGCCUAACACAUGCAAGUCGAGCGAGCGGCGGACGGGUGAGUAAUGUCUGUGAAACUGCCUGAUGGAGGGGGAUACCUACUGGAAACGGUAGCUAAUACCGCAUACCAUCAGAUGUGCCCAGAUGGGAUGAGCUAGUAGGUGGGGUAACGGCUCACCAAGGCGAAGAGCCCGAGCUGGUCUGAGAAGAUGACCAGCCACACUGGAACGGAGACACGGUCCAGACUCCUACGGGAGGCAGCAUGGGGGAAUAUUGCACAAUGGGCGCAAGACUGAUGCAGCCAUGCCGCGUGUAUGAAGAAGGCCUUCGGGUUGUAAAGUACUUUCAGCGGGGAGGCGUUACCCGCAGAAGAAGCACCGGCUAACUCCGUGCCAGCAGCCGCGGUAAUAC